UCUGAGACAGGUGCUGCAUGGCUGUCGUCAGCUCGUGUUGAGAAAUGUUGGGUUAAGUCCCGCAACGAGCGCAACCCUUAUCCUUUGUUGCCAGCGGUUCGGCCGGGAACUCAAAGGAGACUGCCAGUGAUAAACUGGAGGAAGGUGGGGAUGACGUCAAGUCAUCAUGGCCCUUACGAGUAGGGCUACACACGUGCUACAAUGGCGUAUACAAAGAGAAGCGACCUCGCGAGAGCAAGCGGACCUCAUAAAGUACGUCGUAGUCCGGAUUGGAGUCUGCAACUCGACUCCAUGAAGUCGGAAUCGCUAGUAAUCGUAGAUCAGAAUGCUACGGUGAAUACGUUCCCGGGCCUUGUACACACCGCCCGUCACACCAUGGGAGUGGGUUGCAAAAGAAGUAGGUAGCUUAACCUUCGGGAGGGCGCUUACCACUUUGUGAUUCAUGACUGGGGUGAAGUC
rnacentral:rRNA from 1 species